rnacentral:rRNA from 1 species
CGCGGCCUAUCAGCUUGUUGGUGAGGUAAUGGCUCACCAAGGCGUCGACGGGUAGCCGGCCUGAGAGGGUGACCGGCCACACUGGGACUGAGACACGGCCCAGACUCCUACGGGAGGCAGCAGUGGGGAAUAUUGCACAAUGGGCGCAAGCCUGAUGCAGCAACGCCGCGUGAGGGAUGACGGCCUUCGGGCUGUAAACCUCUUUUAGCAGGGAAGAAGCGAAAGUGACGGUACCUGCAGAAAAAGCGCCGGCUAACUACGUGCCAGCAGCCGCGGUAAUACGUAGGGCGCAAGCGUUAUCCGGAAUUAUUGGGCGUAAAGAGCUCGUAGGCGGUUUGUCGCGUCUGCUGUGAAAUCCGGAGGCUCAACCUCCGGCCUGCAGUGGGUACGGGCAGACUAGAGUGCGGUAGGGGAGAUUGGAAUUCCUGGUGUAGCGGUGGAAUGCGCAGAUAUCAGGAGGAACACCGAUGGCGAAGGCAGAUCUCUGGGCCGUAACUGACGCUGAGGAGCGAAAGGGUGGGGAGCAAACAGGCUUAGAUACCCUGGUAGUCCACCCCGUAAACGUUGGGAACUAGUUGUGGGGUCCAUUCCACGGAUUCCGUGACGCAGCUAACGCAUUAAGUUCCCCGCCUGGGGAGUACGG